rnacentral:rRNA from 1 species
UAGGGAAUCUUCCACAAUGGACGCAAGUCUGAUGGAGCAACGCCGCGUGAGUGAAGAAGGCUUUCGGGUCGUAAAACUCUGUUGUUGGAGAAGAAUGGUCGGCAGAGUAACUGUUGUCGGCGUGACGGUAUCCAACCAGAAAGCCACGGCUAACUACGUGCCAGCAGCCGCGGUAAUACGUAGGUGGCAAGCGUUAUCCGGAUUUAUUGGGCGUAAAGCGAGCGCAGGCGGUUUUUUAAGUCUGAUGUGAAAGCCCUCGGCUUAACCGAGGAAGCGCAUCGGAAACUGGGAAACUUGAGUGCAGAAGAGGACAGUGGAACUCCAUGUGUAGCGGUGAAAUGCGUAGAUAUAUGGAAGAACACCAGUGGCGAAGGCGGCUGUCUGGUCUGUAACUGACGCUGAGGCUCGAAAGCAUGGGUAGCGAACAGGAUUAGAUACCCUGGUAGUCCAUGCC